UACGGAGGGUGCGAACGUUAAUCGGAAUCAUUGGGCGUAAAGCGCGCGUAGGCGGUCUGUUAAGUGGGAUGUGAAAUCCCCGGGCUUAACCUGGGAAUUGCAUUUCAAACUGGCCGACUAGAGUACGGUAGAGGGAGGUAGAAUUUCCUGUGUAGCGGUGAAAUGCGUAGAUAUAGGAAGGAAUACCAGUGGCGAAGGCGGCCUCCUGGAUCGAUACUGACGCUGAGGCGCGAAAGCGUGGGGAGCAAACAGG
rnacentral:rRNA from 1 species